GACGAACGCUGGCGGCGUGCCUAAUACAUGCAAGUUGAGCGCUGAAGGUUGGUACUUGUACCAACUGGAUGAGCAGCGAACGGGUGAGUAACGCGUGGGGAAUCUGCCUUUGAGCGGGGGACAACAUUUGGAAACGAAUGCCAAUACCGCAUAAAAACUUUAAACACAAGUUUUAAGUUUGAAAGAUGCAAUUGCAUCACUCAAAGAUGAUCCCGCGUUGUAUUAGCUAGUUGGUGAGGUAAAGGCUCACCAAGGCGAUGAUACAUAGCCGACCUGAGAGGGUGAUCGGCCACAUUGGGACUGAGACACGGCCCAAACUCCUACGGGAGGCAGCAGUAGGGAAUCUUCGGCAAUGGACGAAAGUCUGACCGAGCAACGCCGCGUGAGUGAAGAAGGUUGUCGGAUCGUAAAACUCUGUUGGUGGAGAAGAACGUUGGUGAGAGUGGAAAGCUCAUCAAGUGACGGUAACUACCCAGAAAGGGACGGCUAACUACGUG
rnacentral:rRNA from 1 species